UAAGGAAUAUUGGUCAAUGGACGCAAGUCUGAACCAGCCAUGCCGCGUGAAGGAUGAAGGUCCUCUGGAUUGUAAACUUCUUUUAUCUGGGACGAAAACGGGAUUUUUAUCUCAAUUGACGGUACCAGAGGAAUAAGCACCGGCUAACUCCGUGCCAGCAGCCGCGGUAAUACGGAGGGUGCGAGCGUUAUCCGGAUUUACUGGGUUUAAAGGGUGAGUAGGUGGGCUUAUAAGUCAGUGGUGAAAUCUCCGAGCUUAACUUGGAAACUGCCGUUUNUACUAUAGGUCUUGAAUUAUCUGGAGGUAAGCGGAAUAUGUCACGUAGCUGUGAAAUGCUGAGAUAUGACAUAGAACACCAAUUGCGAAGGCAGCUUACUACAUAUAAAUUGACGCUGAGGCACGAAAGCGUGGGGA
rnacentral:rRNA from 1 species